rnacentral:rRNA from 1 species
GUCAGCGACCAUACCACGUAUGUAGAAAGCACCGGUUCUCACCCAAUCACCGAAGUUAAGCUACGUUAGCCCCGGUUAGUGCUUGCGUGGGUUAGCGGCUGGUAAUACCGGAUGCUGCGGACA